UACAUGCCCACCACCCAUCAGUAGGGGAGA
rnacentral:piRNA from 1 species